CAGACCAAUUAUGGUAGGGUAGGAAAGUGGGGAGUCCUUUAUAUAGGUCCAUAAGCCCCUCCCAAACUACUACUAUUGGGAACCUUUUCAAAUAAUGCAACACAAUAUUCGGCGUGGUAAUUAAUUGGCAGGGGUAUAUGACAGUGCGAGGGUUAAUUUGGUUCAUUUUGACCUUGCUGGGUCCUAGUGAGUUGCCAUAGUUGAG